rnacentral:rRNA from 1 species
UACGAAGGGGGCUAGCGUUGCUCGGAAUCACUGGGCGUAAAGCGCACGUAGGCGGCUCUUUAAGUCAGGGGUGAAAUCCUGGAGCUCAACACCAGAACUGCCCUUGAUACUGAGGAGCUUGAGUCCGGGAGAGGUGAGUGGAACUGCGAGUGUAGAGGUGAAAUUCGUAGAUAUUCGCAAGAACACCAGUGGCGAAGGCGGCUCACUGGCCCGGUACUGACGCUGAGGUGCGAAAGCGUGGGGAGCAAACAGG